rnacentral:lncRNA from 10 species
GGUGAGCCACUGUGCCCAGCCAUUCGAGCAUUUCUUCUGACAGGGCUCCCUACUACUCUAUGGCAUGCUCCUACCCUGGAACAGGAGAGUAGAUGGGUACUGGCAGCCUAUGUCCUCUCUCCGAAAUGCCUGCUCUGUAGUCCAGAAAAGAGUCAAAAUGGUUCCAGACAAAAGAAUCCAUGGGGAGGGCAGAGUUAAUAUGUUGGGGAAUAGAGAGGGCUGAGCCAGACUGUCAAUGGAUGCUCUCUGAGCUGCUUCUAUUCUGAAUCAUCUUCUUUUUCUUUUUCCCAGGAUACAAGACAUGGUGGGACUCUCAGCGACCUGGGAAAGCAAGUGAGAUCAUUGAAGGCUCUGGUCAUCACCAUCUUCAAUUUCAUUGUCACGGUGGUUGCUGCCUUCGUCUGCACUUACCUUGGAAGCCAAUAUAUCUUCACAGAAAUGGCCUCGCGGGUGCUAGCUGCAUUGAUCGUCGCCUCUGUGGUGGGUCUGGCCGAGCUGUAUGUCAUGGUGCGGGCAAUGGAAGGCGAGCUGGGAGAACUGUAACUGGUGCUUCAUCAUCAAGUCUAGAGAAGACUUUGGGGGCUUC